rnacentral:sRNA from 1 species
UAUAGAGGAACUCAGUCUAAGGACGCCACGUCCUGUGGCGACGAUCGAGUGACCAACAUAUGUUAG